GAUGAACGCUGGCGGCGUGCCUAAUACAUGCAAGUCGAGCGAACGGACGAGGAGCUUGCUUUUCUGACGUUAGCGGCGGACGGGUGAGUAACACGUGGAUAACCUACCUAUAAGACUGGGAUAACUUCGGGAAACCGGAGCUAAUACCGGAUAAUAUUUUGAACCGCAUGGUUCAAUAGUGAAAGACGGUCUUGCUGUCACUUAUAGAUGGAUCCGCGCUGCAUUAGCUAGUUGGUAAGGUAACGGCUUACCAAGGCAACGAUGCAUAGCCGACCUGAGAGGGUGAUCGGCCACACUGGAACUGAGACACGGUCCAGACUCCUACGGGAGGCAGCAGUAGGGAAUCUUCCGCAAUGGGCGAAAGCCUGACGGAGCAACGCCGCGUGAGUGAUGAAGGUCUUCGGAUCGUAAAACUCUGUUAUUAGGGAAGAACAUAUGUGUAAGUAACUAUGCACAUCUUGACGGUACCUAAUCAGAAAGCCACGGCUAACUACGUG
rnacentral:rRNA from 1 species